CCAUGCCAGACUGAUGCACUUGAUCUCAUCUGUUCUUGAAGGCUAAGAGGUGCUGAACUUGUCUAGUACUUGGAUAGGAGACCUCACUGCAAUCCCAAGAGGCAAAAAUAC
rnacentral:rRNA from 1 species